AUUGCCAACAGGUGGAAAGCCAACAAUUUAUAAAUUGCAAUAAAACAGAUUAAAAGAAGGUAGAAAGCACCAGUUAGUUUGCAUCCCACUACUCUGCAUGUGGUAUUCAGAAACACAAAAUGGGUUUGAAUUGUCAAAUAUAGAGAAGUUCAAACAUAGGAACAUUUAAAGCCUGGACAUAUUACCUAAGUUUUCAGAUGCAGAACAAUAGCCUAUCUUUCUAAGUAACUAAUGUGGCCUGUUUACAACAAAGUACCUUACAUUCUCACUUGUAAAUGAUUGCAACUUUGUUGAAGACAAAUUUUGUGAUUGCACAAACAAAAACUAAGAUGCAACCAAGUCUAGUAUUAGCAGUGAGGCUUUCUCAAACUGGGCCCGUGGAAGUACACAGCAAAUGUUUCAAAAACAUGAAGCUAAAGUACACAUGGCUUAUUAGCUUACCGAUGUCUCACCACGAGCCCAGU
rnacentral:misc_RNA from 1 species